AUAGGAAAAUCAUCGGCAUAUAAUUUAUAACAUAUCGUUUUAUAACGCGUACAAAUUAUUCACUUUUCAUUCUUCAUUUAAUUACUAAAUGAUCUUUCAUUGAAGCAAAACGACAAAAGUAAAAGAAGGAGAAGAAGGAGGAGACACGUUUCGAUAAUAAACGAAAAACACACUGUGAUAAACUACAGAAAAGCAGAUAGACGUGAGAUUGUAGUUCGAGGCAUCCAAUGAGAUAAGCCGAUUAAUUUUCAUCCAGAUGUAACUACAGUGCCGUGCUCGAUAACAACGUACCUCUUCGUUUUCCUCUCUCUCGCUCUCUCUUUCUCUUUCUCUAUAUCGUUUUACAUGGAUGUAGAUAUAUAUAUGAUACGUACUCUAUCUAUAUAGAUACGUGUUGGAGGAAGAGACAGUACAGCACGCGCGUGCAUUUCUGUUCGUUGGAACGAAAGCAACGAGCUUUCGACGCGCACCGGUCGACAUUCUCACGCGAAAACUCGCUCCUCUCACGGUUACGAAUAUAUAUAUGUAUAUAUAUAUAUAUAAAAAUAUAUAUAUGUUUGUGUGUGUGUGUGUGUAUAGCAUACGUACGUGUGUAUAGAUCUGUAUCCAUAGUACUACGAUAUAGAACGGGUCAUCGAAUUUUGUCGAUCCUAUCUCGACUAUUCUCGGCGUGUUGAGGAAUGCGUGAGACGAUUCGAUUCGAUGAAUAAAUAACGGAAAACGAAUGAUAUUCCGUUCGCUAUACGUUCUUCUGUCUCUCUUUCUCUCUUUCACGUUCAUUGUUUGUUCGAUCGACGAAAAGAGAUAGAAAGAUAUAUAGAUAUAUAGAUAGAUAGAUAGACAGAUAGAUAGAGAAAGAGAGAGAGGGAUAUAUCGAUGUUCAAAUGUACGCUCGUGAAAGAUGAUCGUCGAACAAGCGUGUUGCGACACAGCUUUAAUUGGUUUUUCUCCUCCUCGUUUUGGCGUCACUCAAUGAAACAACAACCGAAUUCACACCGAGUGAUACAACUUUUAUCGUCGUGUUAAUGAGCACUGAUGCCUCGAAUAACUGAUGUAUAACAACGUUGAUUUUAUUUUUAUUCGAUUACUCUUUUUCUCCUUCUUCCUCUAUCUGUAUCUUCCUUUCUCUUUCUCUCUCUUUAUUUCUAUCUGUUUCUCAAUGAGUCAUCGCAGUGUUGUCAAUUAGUACAGACACAAUACAUUUUUAUUUGUACGUUUAUAUUUUUAUUUCGUUAAUAUCUUUCCCUCUCUCUCUCUACCUUGUCUAUUUCUAAAUGAGUCAUCACAGUGUUGUCAACGAUUAAUAGAUACUACGUAUAUAUUUUUUUUAUGCAUACGUACGAGAGAGACGAAAGAAAGGUUAUCAAUGUUUAUUUCUUUUCUCUCUCUCUCUUUCUCUCUCUCUGUUUUACGUUGACUCUACAGUUCUUUGUCCUCUGUUGGGGACGAGAUGGAUAAUGAUAAACAAGGUCGUUCCUUAUUGCGCGUUAACAAUGAACGUAUAAACACAGUGAGAAAUUUUAUUGAUUUAUUGAAGAAAAAGGGAAGGGGGAUACGUAUGCGUAUACGUGACGAUUUACUUACGAAGGACGUUCGAGGAUAGGUAGAGAGAAAGAAAGAGAUCAGUAUUUGUUGAGACAUCGAGAGCGUUGGUUACGUCUAGACGAAUAUUACGUAUCCGAGAUUUUUACUCGUGCGUUCACAUAGGAUAUAAUUUUACUAGCUCUCUAUCAUUCUCUUUUAUUAUAAUAUAUCGUUAUCACAUAUUAUUUUAAAAAACGUGUAACAAGACGAUUUAUUAUAAACAAAUAACGAGAUGAUAUUCGAAGCGAAACGAUACAGUGUUAACCAUCAAUGAUAAACAACAAUCGUCGUGAAUCUUGUCAUCCAUAAUCGUGAUGCCAAGCCUGCCUGCCUGCCUGCCUGCCUGCCUGCCUGCUUGCCUAUAAGUCAAUCGAGAACGAUCGGACUGCCGAGAGGCGAACAGCAGAGAGAAUAUGCAGUCAUCGCUUGGAACUUGAAUUUAUGUGUACAUCGAAUGUGGAAAUGCAUCGACGUGCGAUAGAUGGAUAGAUAGAUAGAUAGAUAUAUAGAUAUAUAGAUAUAGGCAAAAGAGAGAGAGAAAGAGAGAGAGAGAGAGAGAGAGAGAGAGAGAAAGAGAAUUCGAACAAAAGGAACAAACGUGAUAAUAAUUAAUAUGCUGGCAAUAUUAACUAGCGUUCGUUUAUUAUCCUAGUCAUUCCGAGAGAUAGUUGAAUGGUCUAUCCAUGUUUAUUAUUCUCUUUUCCUCUCUCUCUCUCUCUCUCUCUCUCUCUCUUUCUCUUUCUCUCUCUCCAAUACGUUGUGUUCUAUCGUUUCAUCGAAGGACGAAGUGAAUCUCUUACGAAUAUUGAUGGCUCGGAUGUUCAUUCUGCUUGUUUCUCGUUUGCCGUCGUGAACGAGAUAGUUUGCCGUCUAUAUGCACUGACCGAUCAUACCAAAUUGUUUCCGAUCGGAUCUCACGAUCCAAUCAUCGGUUCAGGCUCAAAGUCGAUUAGGAAAUGGAAAUCAUCGUGACUGCCUCCUAUACGUUUCUAUCUGUUCUGACUAUAUGUAUGUAUAUAUGUAUGUAUGUAUAUAUGUAUGAAUGUAUGUAUAUCCAUAUAUAUCCCUUUCUUCUCUUCCACGUUACCGAACAUCGCCAAUUGCAGUUAGAUCCCUUUAUGUCGACGUCAAAGGAUUUUCGAUCUAUCGAUGAUUCUCUAUGCUAUAUGUUUUACGUUCGAUUUACUUUGAAUGUUAAACGUAUAUACCGUACAUGUAUAUAUAUAUAUAUGCAUAUAUACUUACGCAUCGCUUGUACAUAUUUAGAUAAGUUUUUUUUCUUUUUUUCUACAACAUCAAUCAUGUUCUCUUUUUUCUUUUUUACUUUUCUUCCAUUUAGUUUUCUUUUUCCUCCCUUCAUUUCGCAUUCCUUCAUUUGGACAAUCGUGACAUAUUUUCUUUUUUUCCUUUCUGUUGGUUUGCAAUAUUUGUAAAAAGAUCGAGCUAUCUCGUCGUUAUUUUCUCUCUGUCUCUAUCCGUCUUUUUUUUUUUUAUAUAUAUAUAUAUAUAUAUAUCGAUUUACAUUUACCAGAAAGGUGGAAGAAUUUUUUUAAGGAUUCCAAACGCCCGACAAAAGAAUUUUACGCGCGUGCUCUCUGGAUAUUUAUCGAUUUCGCGCAUCGAACGAUAUUUUAGGAAUUUUCAUUGCGUAGAAAUUUCCCUCCGCUUCCUACGCCCUGCUCGGUUUAUGUUUUCUAACGAAAAAGUAAAGAAGAAAAAAAAAAAAAGAAAGAAAGAAAAAGAAAAAGAAGACAAUAUAGGAUAUAUCGAUAGAUACAUGCAUUCUUCUAUCCUUUUUUUUUUUUUUCUCUUUUUUAUGAUAUUCCGAUAAAAUUUUGCGUGGAACUUGUGUAACAAGAAAACAUUUUACAAUUUUAUCCGAGUUACGACAGUUAUUAUAUUAAUCGAAAUUAAUCGAUAUUUUAUAUUUAUAUAUGUACACACACACACACACACAUACAUACAUACAUACAUAUUUUUUUUUUUAGAUAUACGAUCCAUUGAUUUUCAUGCUUUUAGUCGAAAGAACGAUCAACGUUUGAUUCGAGUAAUCACCAGAAAAUAGCAUUAAAGGAACAAAAGAGUAAAAAAAAAAGAGAGAGAGAGAGAGAGAGAGAGAAAGUGAAAUAUAUUCUCUCAAUGUAAAGAAUGAUAGAUUAAACGUCGAUACUGAAAACAGUUGAAUCCCUGCCUCCCUCCCUCUCUCUCUCUCUCUCCCUUUCUCUAUCUAUCUCGUACUCUAUAUCCGACAUAUUUGGCCAAGCUGAAUUCAAUCGGACGUAUGAUAUAAGCGGCUUAUGCGGCGUCGAGGAAUAUCAAUUUACAUAUUUUUUGCCAACUGAUAAGCAUGACAGGAUAGACAGAUAGAUAAGUUAUGUUAUGGAGGGGAUGGAUGGACGGACGGACGUAGGGAGGGGGAUGGGGUCGAUUGGUCACAUUGAAAAUUCUUUCAACGUCAUUAAUCAAGAUCGAAUAAUAAUUGUCCCUCGUUUAAUCGAAAAAGAUUUCCAGAUAAAAUGGAUAUAUAUAAUCUAUAUUAUAUUUUCCUUCCUUUUCUUGCUUUCUUACGAAUCUCAUUUAAAAAGAAGAAUAAUUUCUAUUGAUUGUACGUAAACGAUUAGAUCGAAUGUAUUAUCGAUUAACAUUUUUUUCAUUUCAUUGUUCGAUUUGAACGUGAAGAACAAUGACAAAACGUGAAGAAUGAAGAACAUGUGUGUCAAAUAUAUAUAUAUAUAUAUAUAUAUAUUCAUCAUGAAUAUAUUUAUUGGUUUUGCAUGAUCGACAAAUCUCUUUGCCGUAGGACAGAAAGUGGGAGAGAGAGAGAGAGAGAGAGAGAGAACGUCUAGAGAGAUUUGUUGGAUAUAUAACAAGGGUUCACACUGAAUAUCGUGAGAAUUGCUUCCUUCGCCCUUCGAGGUUUAAUAACAGUUGCUGAGCCUCCCUUUUCUCCUUCCUCCCCUUCUCAUACUCCAUUUUCGUCUUCCGUCAUAAAGCUUCCUCUUCCUGCCUCGAGACAGGAUAACGAAAACUGUAGUAGUUGCAGUUUGAAAUGGAAGGUAUUUGUCGAGGGCAAAUAUAUGACAGGUCCUUGGUGUAUCGUUACUACGAAGGAUUCGCCAGUUCUCUCUUUCUCUCUCCCUCUUUCUCUCUCUCUCUCUCGCUCUCUCUCUCUCUCUCUCUCUCUUUCUCUGUCUUUCUCUUUCUCUUUCUCUUUCCAUCCUUCAAUGAAGGGACUGUCAUCGUUACGAACGACCUUACUUUAUCGUGACACCCGGUACGUGACAACUGACAAAUAAGAUGAAAUCGUAUCGUUCUCUAUAUAUAGACAAUUUUAUAGUCCUUUUUAUUAUUAUUAUUAUUAUUACUGUUAUCAUUAUAAUUUCUUUCUUUUUUAAUAUGCAUAUAUUUGAAACGCGCAAUUUAAAAGAGAAAGAGAGAAUGGAAAAAAAGAAAUAACUAGAUCAAAAAUCACUAAAUCGAAGUAUCAAAUUUCAUAUGUUAUAUUGAUAUAUAUGUGUCCUGUUCUUUUUAAAUUUAAUGAUUCCAAAUAAAAGCGAUACUCAUCUUGAAUAAUUCAUCGAGCGUAUCGAGAAAUAUUAAACCGUUGGAGCAUAUCGUUUGUUAAUAAAUUAAAAAAUGAAAAAGUGGAGAUAUAUAUAUAUAUAUAUAUAUAUAUGUAUAAAAAUAUAAAGAGAGAGAGGGAGAUAGAUAUAUAGAGAGAAAAAAUGAUCUUUGUUUGAACGUUCACAGAGAAUAAUGAUAUUCGCUUUGCAGAGGAGACGGCUCAUCGAUAAGUCCAUAAUCCAUAAAGGUUAUCCGAUAAUGCGCGUUUUAACGCGACAUUAAUUUACGUUCGACGAUUUCUAUAUAACGAUAUCGUCUAUAUACGUUAAAACAUGGCAGUUUAAACGAUAUCGAUUUUCGUCGUUCGUGCCUUUUCUUUAUCGAAAUUACGAAAUUAUCUAGGAAAGCUUUUUCUUCGUCGAUGGAAAAAAAAAAAAAAAAAGAAAAAGUAGAAAAAAGAAUAAAAGCCAUAGGAGAAAAGGGACGAAAAAAAGAAGGAAAAAGAAAAAAAAAAAAUAGUUGGAGGAAAAAAAGUAUAUAUUGAGAGAACAAUGAAGCGCGUUUCUCUCGUCGAAAAGAAAGAAAGAAAAAAAGAGAGAGAGAGAAAGAGAGAAAAAGAAAAAAAAUCUUUAUUUCCAUAAUAUCAUCCCCGAAAAAGUUUCAACCCUUUUUAACGAAGUUCGUCGAAUGGUAUGAUGUAUAUGUAUAUAUAUAUAUAUAUAUAUAUAUAUAUAUAUAUAUAUAUAUAAAAUACGAUCGUUAGAUAUAAAUAUGGUUUCCUCGACUUUUGCCGACUUUUUAAUUCUAGCCGAUAGACAAGAGAGAAAAACAAAGGAUCGUUGACGUCAAGAAGAAGAAGAAGAAGAAAAAAAAAGGUGAAAGAAGAUGAAAAAGGUAGAUGAAAAAAAAAAAAAAAAAAAAGAAAAGAAAUGUCUAUCUGUUAUAUGAAUGAACGGAGAGUUUGCUGUAUUAUAUUCCUUCGUAUUAUAAUGCGUCUCCUAACGGUUAAGAGAUUUUUAAUGAAGACCAAAGGAAUUUGUUAGAAAAUGCAAUGAAACUGCAUUCAUCGUACUCCCGAACGAUCGUCGUUUUAGAAUAAAGAAUAGAAUAUGAAGAAGUUAUCGGCGGAUCGAUCCAUAUCUCGUAUCUUUAUUGCGUUUUCCCGUUCAUAUCUUCAGCAUAUAUAUAUAUAUAUAUAUAUAUAUAUAUAUAUAUAUACACAUACUAUCUCGUGAUAUAUACUAUUUCAACUUUGAUUUUCACCUUUAGAUUUUCAAAGAAAAAAAAGAGAGAGAGAGAGAGAGAGACACUUCAGCAUUUGGACUUACAAGAGAAAUUGCGAUUACGUGAAAAAUUUGAGGAAGGACGUUAGAUGAUAAGAGAUCGAUUUUUAUCAUGAAACAUUGGCAAAUCGAUAAUGGCAAAUCAUUUGUUCGUCGUGCAAAACCCUACCUAUCCUGUUCUAUCCUAUUUUCUUUUUCUCUUUUUUUUUCCCCCCCCUUUGCUUUUGUCUUCAUUUUUUUUUUCUUUCUUUUUUUUUUUAUAUUAUACGAAGUAACACGAAAGAAAGGAGAAAAAAUGUGUGGGUUUGUUAAUGUGAGAGAUAAACGAGAAACGACUCGAAAUGGUAUUUACGAUAAAUGUUUCAUAAUAGGUACGAAACCGUCGAAGGAAAUCUAUGUCGUACGAUAUCCGAGAUACAAUCGAAUCUUUUAAAACGUCGAUACUUAAUAUGCUCUUCUAUUCCACGUGUUUACCAUGGAAUAUCAUGGAGAAAUCUUUGGUUUAUUUCUCUCUCUCUCUCUCUCUCUCUCUCUCUCUCUCUCUACAAUAUAUAUAUAUAUAUAUAUAUAUAUAUAUAUAUAUAUAUAUAAAUAAAUAAAUAUAUAGUUUCUCGAUCUCUUUAUACGAUCAGAAAAUAUCCGAUUCUUUCGACUUCUAUUACGAAACGAUAUUACUAUUGUCGAACAUGAUUCAUUUGAUACGUAUUUAUCAUUGAAAGACGUGAGGAAGAUAGAGAGAGAGAGAGAGAGAGAGAGAGAGAGACAGAGAGAGAAAGAAAAAGA